rnacentral:lncRNA from 1 species
AGAAUGAAGAUUUUUGAGGCGUUACAUUCCUCGCCCCCCCACCUUAAAAAAAUUUGGUCCCUCCAAAUUUGUUAUGAAUAAGUCAGAAAACUUCUCUCGCAUUUCACUCUUGCAUUCUCAUGUCGCCUCUUCCAGAGUGUGAUGUUGUCAUAGCACCUUCACCAUCCGGAUCUUUUUGUUACAUAAAACUUUAUAAGUCCAACCAAGGAUUUCUGCAGGGAGCUCCUCAUAAAUCAUUUCUGCUUAAUCCUGUAUUUUUUGAUGAGAAAUGAUGGGAGAAGGGUUAGGGUGAUACCUUAUGAGCAUGAAGACAUGAAAAAUAUCAUGCAAACUUGCAAACUCUGUGGGUAAAGUGAGGCGAUACACCAUGGGUCUGACAUGUUCCAUGAUCUAAAAAGGUCCCACAU